UACGGAGGGGGCGAGCGUUAUUCGGAAUUAUUGGGCGUAAAGGGCGCGUAGGCGGCCUUGUAAGUCAAAGGUGAAAUCCCUCGGCUCAACUGAGGAACUGCCUUUGAAACUGCAAGGCUUGAGGCCGGGAGGGGGUAGCGGAAUUCCCAAUGUAGCGGUGAAAUGCGUAGAUAUUAGGAAGAACACCAGUGGCGAAGGCGGCUCACUGGCCCGGUACUGACGCUGAGGCGCGAAAGCGUGGGGAGCAAACAGG
rnacentral:rRNA from 1 species